UACAGAGGUCUCAAGCGUUGUUCGGAUUCAUUGGGCGUAAAGGGUGCGUAGGUGGCGCGCUAAGUCAGGUGUGAAAUUUCGGAGCUUAACUCCGAAACUGCAUUUGAUACUGGCGUGCUUGAGGACUGGAGAGGAGACUGGAAUUCAUGGUGUAGCAGUGAAAUGCGUAGAGAUCAUGAGGAAGACCAGUGGCGAAGGCGGCCACCUGGACUGCACCUGACGCUGAAACGCGAAGGCUAGGGGAGCGAACGGG
rnacentral:rRNA from 1 species